UUGGCAUUUCUGUUAUCUGCCGACGCCUCAUCAGCACUAUCAGAAGCAGCAGUUUCAAGGUUUCCUUGAGCAUUCACAUUGCUAUCGAAGAUGCUGUCGACGUUCUCCACAGUAUGCAGCACUGGGCAGUGGGAUAUGCUAAGGUCCUCAAGGGAAGGCAUGCCUGAUACCUUCUUCAGAUCAGCUCCACCAGGGAUGUCACUUGUCCGAGGCCGCCAGGCAGGCGUCGCAGCUCAGGGCAGCUCUCGAGCUGCAUCGCCUGCAAAGAGGGCAACG